rnacentral:rRNA from 1 species
CCUACGGGGGGCAGCAGUGGGGAAUAUUGCACAAUGGGGGAAACCCUGAUGCAGCGACGCCGCGUGAGUGAAGAAGUAAUUCGUUAUGUAAAGCUCUAUCAGCAGGGAAGAAAAUGACGGUACCUGAGUAAGAAGCCCCGGCUAACGACGAGCCAGCAGCCGCGGGAAUACGUAGGGGGCAAGCGUUAUCCGGAUUCACUGGGUGUAAAGGGAGCGUAGACGGCAGUGCAAGUCUGGAGUGAAAGGCGGGGGCUCAACCCCCGGACUGCUCUGGAGACUGUACGGCGAGAGUGCAGGAGAGGUAAGUAGAAUUCCUGGUGUAGCGGUGAAAUGCGUAGAGAUUAGGAGGAACACCAGUGGCGAAGGCGGCUUACUGGACUGUAACUGACGUUGAGGCUCGAAAGCGUGGGGAGCAAACAGGAUUAGAUACCCCGGUAGUC